GACGAACGCUGGCGGCGUGCUUAACACAUGCAAGUCGAACGGAAAGGCCCUGCUUUUGUGGGGUGCUCGAGUGGCGAACGGGUGAGUAACACGUGAGUAACCUGCCCUUGACUUUGGGAUAACUUCAGGAAACUGGGGCUAAUACCGGAUAGGAGCUCCUGCUGCAUGGUGGGGGUUGGAAAGUUUCGGCGGUUGGGGAUGGACUUAGGGCUUAUCAGCUUGUUGGUGGGGUAGUGGCUUACCAAGGCUUUGACCGGUAGCCGGCCGGAGAGGAUGAUCAGUCACACUGGAACUGAGACACGGUCCAGACUGCUGCGGGAGGGAGCAGUGGGGAAUAGUGGACAAUGGGCGAAAGCAUGAUCCAGCCAUGGCGCGUGUGUGAAGAAGGUCUUCGGAUUGUAAAGCACUUGAAGUUGGGAGGAAGGGCAGUAAGUUAAUACCUUGCUGUUUUGACGUUACCAACAGAAUAAGCACCGGCUAACUUCGUG
rnacentral:rRNA from 1 species